AUUUCGGAAUUGGGCGAAGCCUGAUCCCGCCAUGCCGCGUGAGUGAAGAAGGCCUUCGGGUUGUAAAGCUCUUUUUUUUGGGAAGAAAGGGUGUCUACUAAUACCAGGUUGUCUUGACGGUACCAGGAGAGUACGCCCCGGCUAAAUCUGUGCCCCCAGCCGC
rnacentral:rRNA from 1 species